GAUGAACGCUGGCGGCGUGCCUAAUACAUGUAAGUCGAGCGAACGGACGAGAAGCUUGCUUCUCUGAUGUUAGCGGCGGACGGGUGAGUAACACGUGGAUAACCUACCUAUAAGACUGGGAUAACUUCGGGAAACCGUAGCUAAUACCGGAUAAUAUUUUGAACCGCAUGGUUCAAAAGUGAAAGACGGUCUUGCUGUCACUUAUAGAUGGAUCCGCGCUGCAUUAGCUAGUUGGUAAGGUAACGGCUUACCAAGGCAACGAUGCAUAGCCGACCUGAGAGGGUGAUAGGCCACACUGGAACUGAGACACGGUCCAGACUCCUACGGGAGGCAGCAGUAGGGAAUCUUCCGCAAUGGGCGAAAGCCUGACGGAGCAACGCCGCGUGAGUGAUGAAGGUCUUCGGAUCGUAAAACUCUGUUAUUAGGGAAGAACAUAUGUGUAAGUAACUGUGCACAUCUUGACGGUACCUAAUCAGAAAGCCACGGCUAACUACGUG
rnacentral:rRNA from 1 species